rnacentral:rRNA from 1 species
GACUAGCCGUACUCCGAAUGCANCUAGAUUUAAGUUUGAUCAUGGCUCAGAGCGAACGCUGUUCGGUAGGCCUAACACAUGCAAGUCGAACGGCAGCACAGAGGAGCUUGCUCCUUGGGUGGCGAGUGGCGGACGGGUGAGGAAUACAUCGGAAUCUACUCUGUCGUGGGGGAUAACGUAGGGAAACUUACGCUAAUACCGCAUACGACCUACGGGUGAAAGCAGGGGAUCUUCGGACCUUGCGCGAUUGAAUGAGCCGAUGUCGGAUUAGCUAGUUGGCGGGGUAAAGGCCCACCAAGGCGACGAUCCGUAGCUGGUCUGAGAGGAUGAUCAGCCACACUGGAACUGAGACACGGUCCAGACUCCUACGGGAGGCAGCAGUGGGGAAUAUUGGACAAUGGGCUGCAAGCCUGAUCCAGCCAUACCGCGUGGGUGAAGAAGGCCUUCGGGUUGUAAAGCCCUUUUGUUGGGAAAGAAAUCCAGCUGGCUAAUACCCGGUUGGGAUGACGGUACCCAAAGAAUAAGCACCGGCUAACUUC